UGGGGAAUAUUGGACAAUGGGCGCAAGCCUGAUCCAGCCAUGCCGCGUGAGUGAUGAAGGCCCUAGGGUUGUAAAGCUCUUUCACCGGUGAAGAUAAUGACGGUAACCGGAGAAGAAGCCCCGGCUAACUUCGUGCCAGCAGCCGCGGUAAUACGAAGGGGGCUAGCGUUGUUCGGAUUUACUGGGCGUAAAGCGCACGUAGGCGGACUAUUAAGUCAGGGGUGAAAUCCCGGGGCUCAACCCCGGAACUGCCUUUGAUACUGGUAGUCUUGAGUUCGAGAGAGGUGAGUGGAAUUCCGGGUGUAGAGGUGAAAUUCGUAGAUAUUCGGAGGAACACCAGUGGCGAAGGCGGCUCACUGGCUCGAUACUGACGCUGGGGUGCGAAAGCGUGGGGAGCAAACAGG
rnacentral:rRNA from 1 species